AAUCUGAAAUUCGUUCACAAGAUUAUAGACAUCAAAAUAGACAAAAAAUAAACGAUUGAUAAAAAUGUUGUCUACAAAGCUUUAUUAAAACAAAUGAUGCAUCACCUUCUACAAGAGAUAUGGAGCAUGGGGCAGAGGGCAAGCGAGAGAGAAAAAUAAAAGAUUAGGGUAAAAUGUCUUGUUUAUUUUUAUUUGUUUUAUUUUGAUGUUUUGAUAAUUUUUAAACAAUUAUUUAAAAAAUUCAAAAUAUCUAAAUUUGGGGAGAAGUCAUAUUGUGCUGGCAUGUGAAUUAUGGCAAUUAAUGCUUUGGGAGAAGUCAUAUUGUUCCUCUCUCCAAACGAAACCAAGGACAAUUUUGUCUUUUUAUGUACAAGAAAUGACAUUUACCAUAA